UACGUAGGGUGCAAGCGUUGUCCGGAAUUAUUGGGCGUAAAGAGCUCGUAGGCGGUCUGUCGCGUCGGCUGUGAAAACCUAAGGCUCAACCUUGGGCUUGCAGUGGGUACGGGCAGACUAGAGUGCGGUAGAGGUGACUGGAAUUCCUGGUGUAGCGGUGGAAUGCGCAGAUAUCAGGAGGAACACCGAUGGCGAAGGCAGGUCACUGGGCCGCAACUGACGCUGAGGAGCGAAAGCAUGGGGAGCGAACAGG
rnacentral:rRNA from 1 species